rnacentral:rRNA from 1 species
GUCUAAGGCCAUAUUACCCUGAAUGCACCCAAUCUUGACUGGUCUUGAAAGCUAAGCAGGGUCGGGCCUGGUUAGUACUUGGAUGGAAGACAGAUCUUCAGCAGAGACU